CCCUUAGAUGUUCUGGGCCGCACGCGCGCUACACUGAUGCAUUCAACGAGUCUAAAACCUGCUCUGAUAGGGGUGGGUAAUCUUUUGAAUGUGCAUCGUGAUUGGGAUAGAUGAUUGCAAUUUUUCAUCUUCAACGAGGAAUGCCUAGUAAACGCAAGUCAUCAGCUUGCAUUGAUUACGUCCCUGCCCUUUGUACAUACCGCCCGUCGCUCCUACCGAUUGAAUGAUCCGAUGAAUAUCAUGGAUUGAGGAUGCAAGUAGGUUAGCCUAUCUUCAUCUUCGAGAAGUGAAGUAAAUCUUAUCAUUUAGAGGAAGGAGAAGUCGUAACA
rnacentral:rRNA from 1 species